AACUAGAAUAAUAACUGUUACUUUUAAAAAGUAACAUUAAAUGUGCAUUUGAAUAAGCUCAACAGUUGCACUUCCUGUGCGGGGGGCCACAUGGCUACAAAAUCUAACAAGUUUUGACAUAAAAGACCUGCUCACACAGCAACUUUGUGACAUAGGAUACAUUUUUAUAUUACAUGCACUUGCAUCAUUCACUUUACUGUUAGUCAGUGUUUGCAAGUUUUUUUUGUUUGUUUGUUUGUUUGUUUGCUUGUUUGUUUGUUUGUUUGUUUGUUUUUUUAGUGGUGCUGUUGUUUAGUCAGCUAAAGAAAAUGUCCAGUUCGUCCAAUCCAUGAAUGAAUAAUAAAUAGACACACUGGCUGUGAUUACAGUAUUGAACUGGGUAUAAUUGGUGUAAAAAGCCUUAUAAUUCUUAAGGAACUUUUAAUGAGUCUAAGCUUUGCAGGAAAACAUAAGUACUGUACAGCAAUACCACAAAUGAUGAAAACAAUGCAGCAGCACAAACACACCAGUAAUGAGUCUCAGUAUUGAAGUGUACCUGAUUUUUUACAGGAGUUUCUCAUCUUGCACACACUGAAGGCCAAGCAGAGGGUCAGCAGGCCGACGGCAGCAGCCAGAGACAAAGGCAGAGAUAGAGGUGAAGUGUCACUGUGUGCAGUCUGAGUGGUUUGAGGCUGGCUAGAAACUUCAACAGAAGAAAUAGACUGAAUUAGUUGAACUGAAAUUAUAUUUGCAUUUUGAUUGCAUAUGAUUUUAAUAAUGGUGGUAUUUUAGCUUUUUUUUAUUAUUAUUGUAUUGGGAUUUGUAGUAAAAAAUUAUAUUGUGAAGGAAGAAUCUUACCAGUCUCUGUUUUGUUAUAUAGUAUGUCGCUGACAGUUAUGACUGUUCCACUACCAUUCUCCUGAAGCAGGACUGGUAUGUCUUGAGUCACUUCACAAACAUAAUGACCUGAAGCAUUUUUAAGUAUGUUUGUGAGGUUCAGAACUGCACAUGUUUUAUGUCCUUGGAGAUCCUGCUUUUGUUUUUUCUCAUUGAUGUACCAAGCAACUUUAACAUUCUGUUUCAUUCCAGCAGCAGCUGAUUUGAGUAGAUUCUCCUUCAUUCACAGUGAUGCUGGAUGGACUCUGAAUCACAGACAGAUUCUCACUUGAAACUGUGAGAAAAGCAUAAACACACACAAAACACAUGAAUGUUUUGUUGUAUUAUCUUGUGGCUUUGAGGACUUUUCUGUUACUCAAACUGUUAGUAUUUAAAACAAAUAAAUAAAUACCGGUAAUGGUAAUUAUUAUUAUU
ensembl:lncRNA